UACGUAGGGGGCUAGCGUUGUCCGGAAUCAUUGGGCGUAAAGCGCGCGUAGGCGGCCCGGUAAGUCCGCUGUAAAAGUCAAAGGCUCAACCUUUGAAUGUCAGUGGAUACUGCCGGGCUAGAGUCCGGAAGAGGCGAGUGGAACUCCUGGUGUAGCGGUGGAAUGCGCAGAUAUCAGGAAGAACACCGACGGCGAAGGCAGCUCGCUGGGAGUUUUCUGACGCUGAGGAACGAAAGCCAGGGUAGCGAACGGG
rnacentral:rRNA from 1 species